GACGAACGCUGGCGGCGUGCUUAACACAUGCAAGUCGAGCGGUAAGGCCCUUUCGGGGGUACACGAGCGGCGAACGGGUGAGUAACACGUGGGUGACCUGCCCUCAGCUCUGGGAUAAGCCUGGGAAACUGGGUCUAAUACCGGAUAUGACUCCAUGACGCAUGUUGUGGGGUGGAAAGCCUUGUGCGGCUGAGGAUGGGCCCGCGGCCUAUCAGCUUGUUGGUGGGGGAUGGCCUACCAAGGCGACGACGGGUAGCCGGCCUGAGAGGGCGACCGGCCACACUGGGACUGAGACACGGCCCAGACUCCUACGGGAGGCAGCAGUGGGGAAUCUUGCGCAAUGGGCGAAAGCCUGACGCAGCGACGCCGCGUGAGGGAUGACGGCCUGGUGUAA
rnacentral:rRNA from 1 species